rnacentral:rRNA from 1 species
CCUACGGGAGGCAGCAGUAAGGAAUAUUGGUCAAUGGGCGGAAGCCUGAACCAGCCAUGCCGCGUGCAGGAAGACGGCCUAUGGGUUGUAAACUCCUUUUGCAGGGGACUAUGUACUCUGAGAAUAAGGAUCGGCUAACUCCGUGCCAGCAGCCGCGGUAAUACGGAGGAUCCAAGCGUUAUCGGGAUUUAUUGGGUUUAAAGGGUGCGUAGGUGGCCUGUUAAGUCAGUGGUGAAAGACGGUAGCUCAACUAUCGCAGUGCAUUUGAUACUGACGGGCUUGAGUCCACUAGAGGUAGGCGGAAUGUGACAAGUAGCGGUGAAAUGCAUAGAUAUGUCACAGAACACCAAUUGCGAAGGCAGCUUACUGUGGUGGAUUGACGCUGAGGCACGAAAGCGUGGGGAUCAAACAGGAUUAGAUACCCUUGUAGUC